rnacentral:rRNA from 1 species
UACGGAGGGAGCUAGCGUUGUUCGGAAUUACUGGGCGUAAAGCGCGCGUAGGCGGCUUUGUAAGUUAGAGGUGAAAGCCCGGGGCUCAACCCCGGAAUUGCCUUUAAGACUGCAUCGCUAGAAUCCAGGAGAGGUGAGUGGAAUUCCGAGUGUAGAGGUGAAAUUCGUAGAUAUUCGGAAGAACACCAGUGGCGAAGGCGGCUCACUGGACUGGUAUUGACGCGUGAGGUGCGAAAGCAGUGGGGAGCAAACAGG